UGGUGUCAGAUCACCCCAGCAAGAUGAGCAGCCAAGCGUUUCUUUUCACCACCACUGGCUGAUGAGGAGGGCCAACUCGCCAUCUGAUUGGACACUUCAUCAGAAAUAAAGGCAUCCACAACAUUUUUGUUAAAGACAGAAAUCAACCCAGAGCAACCCUCAGACACUGGAUGGAAAAAACUGCCAUUCGGGUCCCGGCCUCUGUCCCUGCAGCCAAAACGCCUGGAAUUCAACAGACCAAGACUGAGAUUGUCAUCGUCCAGCAGCUGGCAGCACUCGCGAUCGGGGACACUGAACCACCCGCUGGCUGACCUUCUGCCAUGAGGACCCUUUACCUCCUGUUUGCAGUCUCCCUCUUCAUGAUCCAGAUUGCCCCAGGGUUCUUCCAGAUUUACGGGAACACCAAACUCUGUAAGCUCAGCGGUGGCUCAUGCUUCCUGAGGUCAUGUCCCCGCAAGUUCGUAAGCUUUGGAACUUGCACCCGAGAGUGCAUGUGCUGUAUACGGCGAGUGAGAGACUGAUUGUCAGAGCAGGAUCUCUCGGUGUCGGGACGAUGUCCCGCAUUUCUAACCCCAGUGGAUGCUGCAUCAUUGAGCGUCUCAUGCAACGUUUCCUUUGGCUGCAAAGAGUCUGAUCCAGAGAAACUCCAAAAGAGCAGGGUAUAAAUUGAAAGAAGAACCAGCAGCCCUUGAAUUCCCCCAUAAAGUUGGUCCUUUCUCUCCUUUGAAUUAAACCAAGCUUCUCUUAGAUCUGCUAAUCAA